rnacentral:rRNA from 1 species
UUAGGAAUUUUGCGCAAUGGGCGAAAGCCUGACGCAGCAACGCCGCGUGAGGGAAGACGGCUUUCGGGUUGUAAACCUCUUUUAGCAGGGACGAACACAAUGACGGUACCUGCAGAAAAAGCACCGGCUAACUACGUGCCAGCAGCCGCGGUAAUACGUAGGGUGCAAGCGUUGUUCGGAUUUAUUGGGCGUAAAGCGCAUGUAGGCGGUUCGGUAAGUCUGGUGUGAAAGCCCUCGACUCAAUCGAGGAAGUGCAUUGGAUACUGUCGAACUGGAGUGCAGGAGGGGUGAGCGGAAUUCCAGGUGUAGAGGUGAAAUUCGUAGAUAUCUGGAGGAACAACAGCGGCGAAGGCGGCUCACUGGACUGUAACUGACGCUCAGAUGCGAUAGUGUGGGGAGCAAACAG